rnacentral:lncRNA from 1 species
CGCUCUGUUGGCAAUCCUCUAAGCCCCAGACCCUAGUCAUCUUGUCGGAGCCCCAAACCCUUGCCACCUCACCACCGCCUACAUCUCCACACUCACCACCUAUUCUGCUCGCCACCCUCUCCUGUACUCGCUGCAUCCUGGCCGAAUAGAAAAGACAAUGGCGAGGGUUAUCAAGUUGGAGGCUUGGAAAUAGGUAAGCUUAAACAACAGAUUAGCUAAGGCUUUGUAUUGAAUAUUUAUAUAUAAGAGCUAUCGGG